GAUGAACGCUGGCGGCGUGCCUAAUACAUGCAAGUCGAGCGAACGGACGAGAAGCUUGCUUCUCUGAUGUUAGCGGCGGACGGGUGAGUAACACGUGGAUAACCUACCUAUAAGACUGGGAUAACUUCGGGAAACCGGAGCUAAUACCGGAUAAUAUUUUGAACCACAUGGUUCAAAAGUGAAAGACGGUCUUGCUGUCACUUAUAGAUGGAUCCGCGCUGCAUUAGCUAGUUGGUAAGGUAACGGCUUACCAAGGCAACGAUGCAUAGCCGACCUGAGAGGGUGAUCGGCCACACUGGAACUGAGACACGGUCCAGACUCCUACGGGAGGCAGCAGUAGGGAAUCUUCCGCAAUGGGCGAAAGCCUGACGGAGCAACGCCGCGUGAGUGAUGAAGGUCUUCGGGUCGUAAAACUCUGUUAUUAGGGAAGAACAUAUGUGUAAGUAACUGUGCACAUCUUGACGGUACCUAAUCAGAAAGCCACGGCUAACUACGUG
rnacentral:rRNA from 1 species